rnacentral:rRNA from 1 species
UACAGAGACUGCAAGCGUUAUUCGGAUUCACUGGGCGUAAAGGGUGCGCAGGCGGCCGUGUGUGUGAGGCGUGAAAGCCUGGAGCUUAACUCCAGAAUUGCACCUCAAACUACACGGCCAGAGCAUUGGAGAGGGUAGCAGAAUUCACGGUGUAGCAGUGAAAUGCGUAGAUAUCGUGAGGAAUACCAGAGGCGAAGGCGGCUACCUGGACAAUUGCUGACGCUCAGGCACGAAAGCGUGGGGAGCAAAAGGG